rnacentral:rRNA from 1 species
CCAGACUCCUACGGGAGGCAGCAGUCGGGAAGAUUGCGCAAUGGAGGAAACUCUGACGCAGUGACGCCGCGUAUAGGAAGAAGGUUUUCGGAUUGUAAACUAUUGUCGUUAGGGAAGAUAAAAGACUGUACCUAAGGAGGAAGCCCCGGCUAACUAUGUGCCGGCAGCCGCGGGAAUACAUAGGGGGCAAGCGUUAUCCGGAAUUAUUGGGUGUAAAGGGUGCGUAGACGGAAGAACAAGUUGGUUGUGAAAUCCCUCGGCUCAACUGAGGAACUUCAUCCAAAACUAUUCUCCUCGAGUGUCGGAGAGGAAAGUGGAAUUCCUAGUGUAGCGGUGAAAUGCGUAGAUAUUAGGAGGAACACCAGUGGCGAAGGCGCCUUUCUGGACGAUAACUGACGUUGAGGCACGAAAGUGUGGGGAGCAAACAGGAUUAGAUCCCCCCGUA